rnacentral:rRNA from 1 species
GAGCUGACAUCAGGCACAAAAUUUUGCCCACAACGUCUAGUCCCACCACACCCACAAGGGUAGUCAGCAGUGAUAAAGAUUGUCCAUAAGCGCCAGCUUGAAUCAGUUAGAGAUAAGUAGAGCCGGCCAACCUGGUGCCAGCCGCCGCGGCUACACCGUGGGGCUCAAAUUAAUUAACAUCGGCGUUAAGCGUGAUUAAAGUCCCACUAAAUUAGAGUUAAAUGCAGAUUUAGCUGUGAAAAGCUUAUUAACUAGAAAGCCAAGAACGAAGGUUACUCUAAUAUGCAACUUGAACCCACGACAGCUGGGGCCACAAACUGGGAUUAGAUACCCCACUAUGCCCAGCCGUAAAAAAUUAAUUCACAUCAACAAGCGCCAGGGUAUUACGAGCGCAAGCUUAAAAUCCAAAGGACUUGACGGUGUCCCACCCACCUAGAGGAGCCUGUUCUAUAAUCGAUGAUCCUCGAUACACCCUACCACUCCUUGCUUUAUCAGCCUGUAUACCUCCGUCGUAAGCCUACCGUAUGAAUGAUUCUUAGUAGGUUAAAGGACUUCUCCGCCAACACGUCAGGUCAAGGUGCAGCCUAUGAAGUGGAAAGCAAUGGGCUACAAUUUCUAAUAUAGAACAAACGAAAUACUACAUGAAACACAGUCAUAAAGGCGGAUUUAGUAGUAAAAGGAAACUAGCAUGUUCCUUUUAACAAGGCUCUGGGACGUGUACAAACCGCCCGUCACCCUCUUCAAUAGCAUUAUCAUCAGAUCCGUAACACAUUAUUAGCGCCCUAGAAGAGGCAAGUCGUAACAUGGUAAGUGUACUGGAAAGUGCACUUGGACUAA